UUGGAGACUAUUACUUCGUAUAAGUUUCUAUGGACUAGCGUGGUUGCUGGAGAAUUGGCUACAUUGGCAUUUUAUGUGUUUACCGGGUUAAAGUUUAAGCCUGAGGCACAUAAUCCAUAUUUUGUGAUUGAUGAUGAGGAAGAAGAGGCUGCAGCAGAGCAAUUGAAGCUGGAAGAUGAGUUCGAGUUGUAAUUGCGUUAGAUAGCUAUAGAGGAAGAUGCUGUGCCAAGAAAUUGAGAACAUUGAGAUAGAUACCUGAUAAUUGCUUCAAUGAUCGGGUCCUCAUGAUCAUUUUGACUGUUAAGAGGGGUAAAUGUGACUGUUUAUUAUGUGCUUCUUUUUAUGUUCUUGUUGAUCUACUAUGUUUUUGAACUUUCAAGUUAAAAUAGUAUAGUCUGAUAAAUUUUCAUCUGUCAUUGAUACUCGAUAUUGGGUACUGUAUACGUUCUGAAACUAAAUCUUUUCAACAACUACUAUGGCAAAUGGGUUGUGUUUGUACUGGUUCCUUGCUAUGUCUGCUUCUAAUUAGCUUCAUCUGCAUUGUAAUUGUUGCUUUCUCAUGCAGUAGCUAUCAAGCAAAUUUGGCAAAUUAGUUCCAUACAGUGAGUAUUUGAUAGCAGUCUGUGAGCAUCCUAAAUGAUCCAAUCUUUACAUUCAAUGUACUUGGUUGAUGACAAACAUUUUUUCUCGUAAGAUUCUAUGUGGUUUUUAGUUUCCCUGUUUCCAAACAUGAAGUCACCUGCCAGAUGACCUCUUCCUUGUUUUUAACCAUGUUAAGUAUUAUCUUGUAGCUGAUCAAGGUAGUGCUGCAAUUAGAUGUUUAACCAAUCUGACAUUUUUUCACAUGUUUGAAUAUGAUCUUCUCGAUAUAUAUAUAUAUAUAUAUAUAUAUAUAUAUAUAAGCUCCAAAAUGGUCAGACUAAUUUCACCGUUAUCUUCCUUGAAAACGACGCUGAUCAGCAUACUCUCGUUUUUGCCAAUUGCUUGAGCUCGGUCAAGGUAUCCAUGGACGUCAAAUCGGCUAUGUACAAUCUCGAAAGGAAUGGCAACCGUGAUUAUCUUUCUGCUGGCAAGACGAUUCUCCCUAGGGUUUAUUUCUUAUUCUCCCUCAUUUAUUUUAUUCUCGCGGGAUUAUGGAUUCACGUUCUGUAUAAGAAAAGACUCACUGUUUUUAGGAUCCAUUUCUUCAUGCUGUCGGUGGUUAUUUUGAAGGCUUUGAAUUUAUUAUGUGAGGCAGAGGAUAAGUCUUAUAUCAAGAAGACUGGUAGCGCGCAUGGAUGGGAUGUGUUGUUUUAUAUGUUCAGCUUUUUGAAGGGGGUCAUAUUAUUUACUUUGAUUGUGUUGAUUGGGACCGGAUGGUCGUUUUUGAAGCCCUACUUGCAGGACAAGGAGAAGAAGGUUUUGAUGAUCGUAAUUCCUCUCCAGGUAGUGGCAAAUAUUGCUCAGGUGGUCAUCGAUGAAACAGGACCCUAUGGGCAGGAUUGGAUCACCUGGAAGCAGGUGUUUUUGCUGGUCGACGUUGUGUGCUGCUGUGCCGUCUUGUUCCCCAUUGUUUGGUCCAUUAAGAACUUGCGCGAGGCCGCUAGAACGGACGGGAAGGCUGCUGUGAAUUUGAUGAAGUUGACUCUGUUUAGGCAGUAUUAUAUCGUGGUAAUCUGCUACAUUUACUUUACCCGUGUGGUCGUUUACGCUUUGGAGACUAUUACUUCGUAUAAGUUUCUAUGGACUAGCGUGGUUGCUGGAGAAUUGGCUACAUUGGCAUUUUAUGUGUUUACCGGGUUAAAGUUUAAGCCUGAGGCACAUAAUCCAUAUUUUGUGAUUGAUGAUGAGGAAGAAGAGGCUGCAGCAGAGCAAUUGAAGCUGGAAGAUGAGUUCGAGUUGUAAUUGCGUUAGAUAGCUAUAGAGGAAGAUGCUGUGCCAAGAAAUUGAGAACAUUGAGAUAGAUACCUGAUAAUUGCUUCAAUGAUCGGGUCCUCAUGAUCAUUUUGACUGUUAAGAGGGGUAAAUGUGACUGUUUAUUAUGUGCUUCUUUUUAUGUUCUUGUUGAUCUACUAUGUUUUUGAACUUUCAAGUUAAAAUAGUAUAGUCUGAUAAAUUUUCAUCUGUCAUUGAUACUCGAUAUUGGGUACUGUAUACGUUCUGAAACUAAAUCUUUUCAACAACU
rnacentral:lncRNA from 1 species